rnacentral:rRNA from 1 species
AAGCAUAUCAAUAAGCGGAGGAAAAGAAACCAACAGGGAUUGCCUCAGUAACGGCGAGUGAAGCGGCAACAGCUCAAAUUUGAAAUCUGGCCUCUUCGGGGUCCGAGUUGUAAUUUGUAGAGGGUGCUUUGGCGUCGGCCGUGGUCUAAGUUCCUUGGAACAGGACGUCACAGAGGGUGAGAAUCCCGUACGUGGCCGCCGGCCUUCGCCGUGUAAAGCCCCUUCGACGAGUCGAGUUGUUUGGGAAUGCAGCUCUAAAUGGGAGAUAAAUUUCUUCUAAAGCUAAAUAUUGGCCAGAGACCGAUAGCGCACAAGUAGAGUGAUCGAAAGAUGAAAAGCACUUUGGAAAGAGAGUCAAAAAGCACGUGAAAUUGUUGAAAGGGAAGCGCUUGCAGCCAGACGUGCCCGCAGUUGCUCACCCGGGCCCUCGCCCGGGGCACUCUUCUGCGGGCAGGCCAGCAUCAGUUCGGGCGGUCGGAUAAAGGCCUCUGUCACGUAUCAUCCCUCGGGAUGACCUUAUAGGGGAGGCGCAACACGGCCAGCCCGAACUGAGGACCGCGCAUUCGCUAGGAUGCUGGCGUAAUGGCUGUAAGCGGCCCGUCUUGAAACACGGACCAAGGAGUCUAACAUCUAUGCGAGUGUUUGGGUGUCAAGCCCGGGCGCGCAAUGAAAGUGAACGGAGGUGGGAACCCUUCGGGGUGCACCAUCGACCGAUCCUGAAGUCUUCGGAUGGAUUUGAGUAAGAGCAUAGCUGUUGGGACCCGAAAGAUGGUGAACUAUGCCUGAAUAGGGUGAAGCCAGGGGAAACCCUGGUGGAGGCUCGCAGCGGUUCUGACGUGCAAAUCGAUCGUCAAAUUUGGGCAUAGGGGCGAAAGACUAAUCGAACCAUCUAGUAGCUGGUUCCUGCCGAGCUCC